GAGACCCUAGUAACCAAGUAUCACAUUAUCUUGUCAAGAUAAAAUUGUGGGUUUAACCCCCACGAGUCUCA
rnacentral:tRNA from 1 species